rnacentral:rRNA from 1 species
AUGAACGCUAGCUACAGGCUUAACACAUGCAAGUCGAGGGGCAGCAUGAACUUAGCUUGCUAAGUUUGAUGGCGACCGGCGCACGGGUGAGUAACACGUAUCCAACCUGCCGAUGACUCGGGGAUAGCCUUUCGAAAGAAAGAUUAAUACCCGAUGGCAUAGUUCUUCCGCAUGGUGGAACUAUUAAAGGAUUUCGGUCAUCGAUGGGGAUGCGUUCCAUUAGGUUGUUGGCGGGGUAACGGCCCACCAAGCCUUCGAUGGAUAGGGGUUCUGAGAGGAAGGUCCCCCACAUUGGAACUGAGACACGGUCCAAACUCCUACGGGAGGCAGCAGUGAGGAAUAUUGGUCAAUGGACGAGAGUCUGAACCAGCCAAGUAGCGUGAAGGAUGACUGCCCUAUGGGUUGUAAACUUCUUUUAUACGGGAAUAAAGUGAGGCACGUGUGCCUUUUUGUAUGUACCGUAUGAAUAAGGAUCGGCUAACUCCGUGCCAGCAGCCGCGGUAAUACGGAGGAUCCGAGCGUUAUCCGGAUUUAUUGGGUUUAAAGGGAGCGUAGGCGGACGCUUAAGUCAGUUGUGAAAGUUUGCGGCUCAACCGUAAAAUUGCAGUUGAUACUGGGUGUCUUGAGUACAGUAGAGGCAGGCGGAAUUCGUGGUGUAGCGGUGAAAUGCUUAGAUAUCACGAAGAACUCCGAUUGCGAAGGCAGCCUGCUGGACUGUAACUGACGCUGAUGCUCGAAAGUGUGGGUAUCAAACAGGAUUAGAUACCCUGGUAGUCCACACAGUAAACGAUGAAUACUCGCUGUUUGCGAUAUACAGUAAGCGGCCAAGCGAAAGCGUUAAGUAUUCCACCUGGGGAGUACGCCGGCAACGGUGAAACUCAAAGGAAUUGACGGGGGCCCGCACAAGCGGUGGAGUAUGUGGUUUAAUUCGACGCAACGCGAAGAACCUUACCAGGUCUUGACAUCCCGAUGAAAAACCCGUAACGGGGUUCCCUCUUCGGAGCAUCGGAGACAGGUGGUGCAUGGUUGUCGUCAGCUCGUGUCGUGAGAUGUUGGGUUAAGUCCCGCAACGAGCGCAACCCUUAUCGAUAGUUACCAUCAGGUGAUGCUGGGGACUCUGUCGAGACUGCCGUCGUAAGAUGUGAGGAAGGUGGGGAUGACGUCAAAUCAGCACGGCCCUUACGUCCGGGGCUACACACGUGUUACAAUGGGGGGUACAGAAGGCAGCUACACGGCGACGUGAUGCUAAUCCCGAAAGCCUCUCUCAGUUCGGAUUGGAGUCUGCAACCCGACUCCAUGAAGCUGGAUUCGCUAGUAAUCGCGCAUCAGCCACGGCGCGGUGAAUACGUUCCCGGGCCUUGUACACACCGCCCGUCAAGCCAUGGGAGCCGGGGGUACCUGAAGUGCGUAACCGCAAGGAGCGCCCUAGGGUAAAACUGGUGAUUGGGGCU